GCGGAGGAAAAGAAACCAACAGGGAUUGCCCCAGUAACGGCGAGUGAAGCGGCAACAGCUCAAAUUUGAAAUCUGGCCCUCGCGGUCCGAGUUGUAAUUUGUAGAGGAUGCUUUUGGUGCGGUGCCUUCCGAGUUCCCUGGAACGGGACGCCAUAGAGGGUGAGAGCCCCGUCUGGUUGGAUGCCAAACCUCUGUAAAGCUCCUUCGACGAGUCGAGUAGUUUGGGAAUGCUGCUCAAAAUGGGAGGUAUAUGUCUUCUAAAGCUAAAUACCGGCCAGAGACCGAUAGCGCACAAGUAGAGUGAUCGAAAGAUGAAAAGCACUUUGAAAAGAGGGUUAAAUAGUACGUGAAAUUGUUGAAAGGGAAGCGUUUGUGACCAGACUUGGGCUCGGUGAAUCAUCCGGCGUUCUCGCCGGUGCACUUCGCCGGUCCAGGCCAGCAUCGGUUCGCUCGCGGGGGAUAAAGGCGUCGGGAAUGUGGCUCCUCGGAGUGUUAUAGCCCUUCGCACAAUACCCUGCGGUGGACCGAGGUUCGCGCAUCUGCAAGGAUGCUGGCGUAAUGGUCAUCAACGACCCGUCUUGAAACACGGACCAAGGAGUCGUCUUCGUAUGCGAGUGUUCGGGUGUCAAACCCCUACGCGUAAUGAAAGUGAACGGAGGUGAGAGCUACGGCGCAUCAUCGACCGAUCCUGAUGUUCUCGGAUGGAUUUGAGUAAGAGCAUACGGGGCCGGACCCGAAAGAAGGUGAACUAUGCCUGUAUAGGGUGAAGCCAGAGGAAACUCUGGUGGAGGCUCGCAGCGGUUCUGACGUGCAAAUCGAUCGUCAAAUAUGGGCA
rnacentral:sRNA from 1 species